AUCGAACGCUGGCGGCAGGCCUAACACAUGCAAGUCGAGCGAGCGGCGGACGGGUGAGUAAUGUAUGGGGACUGCCCGAUAGAGGGGGAUUACUACUGGAAACGGUGGCUAAUACCGCAUACUGUAGGAGGACUAUUAUGGGUUUAGCUAGUAGGUAAGGUAAUGGCGUACCUAGGCGACGAUCCCUAGCUGGUCUGAGAGGAUGAUCAGCCACACUGGGACUGAGCCCCGGCCCAGACUCCUACGGAGGCAGUAGUGGGGAAUAUUGCACAAUGGGCGCAAGCCUGAUGCAGCCAUGCCGCGUGUAUGAAGAAGGCCCUAGGGUUGUAAAGUACUUUCAGUCGGGAGGCGUUACCGACAGAAGAAGCACCGGCUAACUCCGUGCCAGCAGCCGCGGUAAUUC
rnacentral:rRNA from 1 species